rnacentral:lncRNA from 1 species
CUAUGUCGCCUUAUAUUAGUGUGCAUACCUAAGUUUUUUUUCUUAGGUACCCGAACUGCACCCUCGCCUUAUAAUCACAAAAAUACGGUAUCUGCACAUAUUCAAGUU